GUGUGUGUGUCACACAGGCCAAACGGCUCUCAAGCCCGAUCCGCCAGAUUUGGCUCUUCCCGCUCUUCUCUUCCUUCAUCUCUUUUUUUUUCCCCAUUUCUUUUUUUCCUCCUCCUCCUCCUCCUCCUCCUCCUCCUCCCUUUUCUUUUUAACUGGGCUCGCGCUCGCUCCUUCGGAGUGGCCCUUAAUUACAGGACGCGAUUGGCAGGACGCUCGAAUAUCUUGUUUUUUUGCGUUGUUGUUUGAGAUGUUUUGGUGGUUUUUCCCUUUUCUUUUUCUUUUUUUCUUCCUUUCCGGGGGCCCCUGUUUGUAGUGCGCUGGCCUGCGUGCGUCUCGUUCGUCCUUGAGAGAGGCCGGCUUGCGGUGUGAGCGGAGCGACGGGCCGGAAUGCGCCGCCACUGCCGCCGCCGCGCGCGCCCUCUCCCGCCUUUGAUGUCGGAGGCGCUAGCGUUUGUUUUUCUUUUUUUCUCUCGUGGUGUUUCAGGGAACCGGCACAUUGUUAAUUUGUGCUUUUCCUCCUUGUUCUCUCUCUCUGUCUCGCUUUGCUGUCUGUCCGACCUACGGGCCGCGUCAUUCAUGGCCAAAAAAACGAGGGAACACACAUGUUGUACGAAAGGGCUAAAUUCUCUCCCUGCUUUCUCGAGCUUGAUGUACAGAUGUCUCUCUUGAGACAUUGCCCCCGUUUAGCCUCCACAGUCCCACUGUCUGAUCAACCUCACUCCUCUCUCCUGCCAAGUCUGUUUGUGUUGUAAACUCCAGUGUUUCUCACUAAGUUUCCUCUCCCAUCAAACAGCCAUCUGCAAGCAGAAGCUUAAGGCAGCAAUGAGAGACGGAACCCUUUAAACCUGGGACUGGAUGUGGUUGGGUGAAAACAGGUAUGUGCCACUGAUGUGGUGCUGUUUUUAUAUGAAGAAUACGGUUGGGCUUUUUUUUUUUUUUUAUCUCUCCAGCCAACGUUUAUGAAGUGUUUAUGAAGUCUUUUAUGAACUUGCAAUGGAGUCUGCCAGUGUAUAUCUACGUUAGGCUGGUGUGGGUGUAUCUAAAUUUCUGUGAAUGUGUGUGUGUGUCUGUAGUUUUUAAGUGUGUGUGUGUGUGUGUAUGUGUAACUGAGGAUGUAACACUGAUUUUGUGCCUGUGUGUGUGUGUGUGUGUGUGUGUGUGUGUGUGUGUGUGUGUGCGUGCGCGCGUCCAUGUGUGAGGUGUCUUCGUGUUCCGUCUGCCGUCGGAGAGGGGACGAUUUACGAGUCUGUUUAUGAAGACGCUGUCAGAGUUGGCACUGCGGUGCAGGGACGC
ensembl:lncRNA